rnacentral:rRNA from 1 species
UACAGAGGUCUCAAGCGUUGUUCGGAUUCAUUGGGCGUAAAGGGUGCGUAGGCGGCUUUUUAAGUCAGUGGUGAAAUACAGCAGCUCAACUGUUGAGGUGCCAUUGAUACUGAAGAGCUUGAGUACAGAUGAGGUAGGCGGAAUUUAUGGUGUAGCGGUGAAAUGCAUAGAUACCAUAAAGAACACCGAUUGCGAAGGCAGCUUACUAAGCUGUAACUGACGCUGAGGCACGAAAGCGUGGGGAGCGAACAGG